CCAGCAUCCCCUAGUUAAGGACAUCCAGGAACUAACAAGCUACAAGGAUGCAGUAAAUCAAAGAUGAUGAUGUAUAUCUAUGCACACAUUGCUAACUUGGCAAAAUACAGUCCAUGUAUGCUACAGCUGAACUGUGCUAAUUAUAGUACUAAAAAUCACGCCUACAGGUCAAAAAGACCCCUGCCGAGGUCAAGACCCUUCUCCUGAGCAUGUGUAGAAGUUCACUGGGGUUAUGUAACUUGUAUGGGAAUUCCUAAUCAAUCAUAAUGCAGGGGCUGUGCUUGGAAAGUUAGUAACUCCGAAUUUCUGCCUGUAAAUAAUAGUGUGAAAAGUCCAGUGGCCGUGCUUGAUUCAUGGAACACCACUGAGCACCCAGCCUUGUGCAGCUCUGAGAUAAAUAAUCAGCAACUCUCUAUAGAGUUGCAUUAUUGGCUUGUUGCACACCUGGUUACAAAUCUGAUUUUGAGGGCAACAACCUCACAGCCCCGAGUCCUGACUGGUUAAGCAUCCGGAGCCAGAGUGAUGUACUGGGAUGUAUGGUAAUGGCAGGGCAGCCCAGGCUACACACAAGUCUUAGUGCUUUGCAUGCAAACAGAGGCCCUGUGGUUGUGAAAAGUAAAGAAACACAAAUCUUUGCCUUCCACAGUCACGUCCUCUCUGUGAACACAGUGAAGUAUUGUUCAGUGUUUGUUGAGACUCAUUAGUCCAUCCCUUUUUAUCUGCAGAGCCCUCUGCUGUGACAGUUCUUAAGCAUUGAUGUCCACUGCCUAUGAAAAUAUGUAGUGAACAGAUACUGGAGUCCAGGCCAGAAAGAAACUUCAUUUAAUGGUAAGUAGAAAAUCUGUUUUCAUCAGACACAAUUCCUUUAUGACCUGCCCAGCCUCCAUUGUCAUAAGAGGCAUGAAGAGUAAAAUCUGUCAGUCAAUAACAUGGCAUUAAUUUUUGUGACUGUCAGCUCCAAUCACAAAACCAGCUGAGCUGUAGCAGCAGAAAAGUACUUUGUCUAACCUAAGGCUUGUGUGUGUCCCAGCUGUCAAGAAAUAAAGAACUGAGAUGGAAACCCUCAUUAAUAUCCUUAUUAGACUUUGUAUUUGCUUGCUCUUCUUGUUUUCUUUAUCUAGAAUUCUCAGUUCCUAAGCCAAGCAUUAGGGCUUUCUACCAUUUCUUCUGUGGAGCAAAUGUCAUUUUUCCACCUUAGAGUCUCCACUUUAUAUCAAGUCUGCUGAAAACAUAUUGUUUUGUAUUAUUUCUUGGCAUAUUUCUUUUUCCUGUUACUUGUUUCUCCAACUGCAUUGUUUAACUGUCUGCAUAGAGGGUACAGGAGCUUUUUCUGCAUUCCUGACUCGCCUGAAUUCCUGUUAAACACAAUGGAUGUUUUGAGUGUGCAAGGAUGGGGAUAAAAGUUGUGUUCUGCAUUCUGCUUUUCUAAAGUGGCAUCGCUUACAAUUAAAACUUCAAAGAGACAAGCAGCAAAUACAGCACAGAAAAAAAGACUGUGGUUCCCAUUUCUGAAGAAGACCAGAAAGCAAGUUUUCAAUCCUUAAGACUUCAUAAGACCUACUUAGAGGUCAUAAGUGAUUUCCUGAGUACAAUUAGCACUUUAACAGGUACAAUUUUCCUGUGUAGUUGUGUCCAUUAGUAUUUCUUUAUCUCUCUAUGUAAGUAGUUGUGCUGAACUGAAUGAGAUUUUGUUUAUAUAUGAAAUUAUUCACACAAGCAAAUGUCAAACGAAUAAAAGCAAUGAAAACCA